GCCUCUAUGGCGCAAUUGGCUAGCGCGUUCGGCUGUUAACCGGAAGGCUGGUGGUUCGAGCCCACCUAGGGGCG
rfam:Daphnia magna strain Xinb3 scaffold00339, whole genome shotgun sequence.